rnacentral:snRNA from 1 species
GAUGUAAAAUAUAAUUGGUUAAAA